UACGUAGGGUGCAAGCGUUGUCCGGAAUUAUUGGGCGUAAAGAGCUCGUAGGCGGUUUGUCGCGUCUGCUGUGAAAACUCGGGGCUCAACUCCGAGCUUGCAGUGGGUACGGGCAGACUAGAGUGCGGUAGGGGAGACUGGAAUUCCUGGUGUAGCGGUGGAAUGCGCAGAUAUCAGGAGGAACACCGGUGGCGAAGGCAGGUCUCUGGGCCGUAACUGACGCUGAGGAGCGAAAGCAUGGGGAGCGAACAGG
rnacentral:rRNA from 1 species